rfam:Tupaia chinensis contig160386, whole genome shotgun sequence.
GGUUCCAUAGUGUAAUGGUUAUCACAUCUGCUUUAUGCGUAAAAGGUCCUAGGUUCGAGCCUCAGUGGAACCA